GAGUUCAAGAGUACGUGAAACCGUUCAGGGGUAAACCUGAGAAACCCGAAAGGUCGAACGGGGAGAUUCAGCGCGGCCCGGAUAACCGCGGCGAGUCGGCAACGUGCGACCGUUGGCGUUCGCGCCGACGGCUCCGUGUCCGUUCCGUCCGCGGCCGAACGCGUGCACUUCUCCCCCUGUAGGACGUCGCGACCCGUUGGGCGCCGGUCUAAGGCGUGCGGUCUAGUCCGUUCGAGUAUUCGCUCGUUCGAAACGCAAACGCCCGACCGGCGACCUACCGACGGUACGAUCAUGGCGAGGGGCCGCGAACAGUUCGCGUCCGGCCAAUCUCAAGUACGGACGGUAAAUCCGAAGCGCGGACCUAGCGCCGCAUCCGGACCCGUCCGACUGCUGGCGAUUGCGCUCUCGGACAGACCCCUAUUACACGCCGGUCGGCGGCGCUAUAGCUUUGGGUACUUUCAGGACCCGUCUUGAAACACGGACCAAGGAGUCUAGCAUGUGCGCGAGUCAUUGGGACUCGAACGAAACCUAAAGGCGUAAUGAAAGUGAAGGUUCGCCUUGCGCGAACCAAGGGAGGAUGGUCGACCGUUCGAGGUCGUCCCGCACUCCCUGGGCGUCUCGUUCUCACUGCGAGAAGAGGCGCACCAAGAGCGUACACGCUGGGACCCGAAAGAUGGUGAACUAUGCCUGGUCAGGACGAAGUCAGGGGAAACCCUGAUGGAGGUCCGUAGCGAUUCUGACGUGCAAAUCGAUCGUCGGAACUGGGUAUAGGGGCGAAAGACUAAUCGAACCAUCUAGUAGCUGGUUC
rnacentral:rRNA from 2 species